rnacentral:rRNA from 1 species
CAUAUGCUUGUCUCAAAGAUUAAGCCAUGCAUGUGUAAGUAUAAGUAUUGUACAGCGAAACUGCGAAUGGCUCAUUAAAACAGUUAUAGUUUAUUUGAUAAUCGAAAAGUUACAUGGAUAACCGUGACAAAUUACAGCUAAUACAUGCAUCAAGACCUCUAUGAGGUUGUAAUUAUUAGUAUUAAACCAAUUGCUUCGGCAAUGUGAUGAAUCAUAGUAAUCGAACGAAUCGCAGAAUUCUGCGAUAAAUCAUUCAAGUUUCUGCCCUAUCAGCUUUGGAUGGUAGUGUAUUGGACUACCAUGGCUAUCACGGGUAACGGAGAAUUAGGGUUCGAUUCCGGAGAGGGAGCCUGAGAAACGGCUACCACAUCUACGAGGGCAGCAGGCGCGAAAAUUGCCAAUCCUGAUUCAGGGAGGCAGUGACAAGAAAUAACAACUCUCAACUUUGUUGAGAAGUGU